ACCGGCUUGGGCUGGACGGGGGUCUGAUCCCUCCCUGAGAGCAGGGUGGAGUCAGGUGGGGAGUCGGGCUCUGCUCCCAGGUAACCGCGGCAGAAGAGGAUACAGCCUUAAGCUACGCCUGGGGAGGUUCAGGUUGGACAUCAGGAGGGAUUUCUUCACAGAAGGGGUGAUUAAACAUUGGAAGAGGCUGCCCAGGGAGGUGGUGGAGUCCCCCCAUCCCUGGAGGUGUCUGAGGAACGACUGGUCAUGGCACUCAGUGCUCUGGGCUGGGGAACAAGGGGGGGAUUGGGCACAGGGUGGACUCGAUGGUCUCCGGGGUCUCUUCCAGCCUCAGUUGUUCUGGGAUUCAGGGACCAAAGCCACGGCACCCGGGCUGCUGUGAUGGGGAAGCUGCAGGUCUGUUUCCCCUCAGUUUGGGGAAUGUGUCCCUUCAGUGUGGGGGACGUUUCCCCUCAGUUUGGGGAAUGUGUCUCCUUGUUUUGCGGGAUGUUUCCCCUCGGUGUGGGGGAUGUUUCCCUUCAGGGAAGCACUGCCUAGUGUGCCUGGGGUUUGGGGUCAGACUGGGCAGGGAAGAGUUUGUGUCCAUGUGAUGGCUGAGGAGGAGGGUGAAGGUGGUGGGGUUAUUUCAGGUUGGAAGGGACCACCUCCCUGCUCCAGCAGGGCCAUUGCAGAGCACAUGGCACAGGAUUGUGUGCAGACGGGUCUGGGAUAUUCCCAGUGAGGGAGACUCCACACCCUCCCUGUCCAGCCUGUUCAGUGCUCGGUCACCACACAGUGAAGUUCUUCCUCAUGUACAUGUGGAAUUUCCUGGGCAUCAGUUCCUGCCCAUGGCCUCUUGUCCUAGUGGCUGGCACCACUGGACCAGUGGCCUGGUCCAUCCUCUGACACCCUCCCUUUAGAUAUUUUUACACAUGGAUGAGAUGUGUUUUGGGUCAAGGGAUGGAGGUGUGUGAGGUGCUGGGGCUGGUCCAGGGGCAGCAGGAGGGAUGGAGCUUGGCAGGGAUGUGCAGUGGCCUCUGUGUGUGCUCUGUUGAAGCUAUGGCUGCUCCUGGCACAGAAUCACAGAAUGGUUGGGGUUGGAAGGGACCUCUGGAGAUCAUCCAGUCCAACCCCCCUGCCAAGGCAGGGUCACCUGGAGCAGGUGACACAGGAAUGCAUCCAUGUGAGUGUUGGAGGGAAAAUACUCAAAAACUUGCCAAAGAAGUCCUGAGGUUUGUUUGGGUCUGUUUUACUGUGUCUAGGCAUGGUCCCUCUCUGGGGUGGGUCCCAGCCAGGAGGGAUGGACACCGGGUACCUGCCUGCACCAGGGCCCUCCCACCUCACUGUGGUGGUGCAGAUCCACAGAGGUGUUUUGCUGCAGCCACAGGAUAUGUUCACCCAUGGACAGGCCACUUGCACACCCUGUUCACUGUACAAAGCCUUGGCCUCUGGUUGAGCUUCAGAUAUAUUAAACAUAGUCUUGAGUGUUGCUUUAUCAGCAAAAGUUAAUUCACACUUUUAAGUGGGGUUUAAGUGUUAACCACAAACUUAUUUCUCCAGAUAAGUGCCUCUUUGAAUGCAAGGACCUGCAGUGCUUUAGUAGAGGAUGUUUUUGAUAGAGCCAUUAUCCCAUGUUGAGUUUUGAUAGCUGACCCUAAACCACUUCAUAAUGUACUUUAUAAGCUUUAUUAGCAUGUCCAGAAACACCCAACUGGAGUUUGCUGUCAGCAGGCAAAGUGCAAACCCCUCCCUGAGAAUUGUGCCAUUUGGUAGCCGCAGAGGUUACAAAUCUGAUUGCUGCUCUGUGUUUAUUCCAUCCUCAGUGGCACUGCAAGGCACUUAUCCUGGGAGCACUCCCUGCCUUUGGCAUGAGCCCAGGGGCACAGCGUGAGGAACGUGGGGAGGUGUUGGGGAUCAUGGGUGUUGCUGUGCAUCUGGAAUUCAUGGCAGAGCUGUGAGAUGUGCUUUGUCUCAGACAUGGGGUGACAGCCACAUUUGCAUUGCAAAAACAAAUAUAAAAUUGCCCACUAGAUACACUUUCAAAAAUAUUUUAAAUGACAGACAUAGUUGAAACUGUUCCACGAGCUGGAUUUGAUGCUUUCUGGUUCUCAUUCCAUCUGUGAAACACUGUCAUAUGUAAUCUACAUUAAGGCUCUGCUGAUACCAGCUCUCCAUUUGGAUAAAUGAUACCACUCUGUGCUAAUGUAUUGGGUGACUAAGAAAGGCAAGCCUGGGCAUGCACAAGUUCUGAGUUGUGAGCUUUAAUUUAAAAGAUUUGAAGAAUUUCUAGUUGUUGUGAUGAAAAUUUUUCAGAGCCUGCUGUGAGUAACCGAUGGUGACUAUAAAUGUGCCAAGUCUGGAACAAUAGCUCUGAGACAUGUGAACUGCUCCGUGUCAGCAUAUGCUGUGCCAGAUGCCAACAAACAAAACUGGAGGGAAGAACAAUGGAGCUGGGCCUCCAACAGGAGACAGCAAAGGAGACGUUCAGAGGAGACAGCAAAUCAUGAAGAUGUUGCACAGUAGCCCCUGAAACAGGGAAUAGCGUAAUUAUGUGGGCUAAUAAACAAAAGAGGAUGCAGAAAACACACAAAUUACAGUGAUCACAAGGCAAAAUGAUGUGAUGCAUUGUGCUACCUACAGCUCUGAUCCUGUCAAACCUGACUAGGGAAUUAGGAUGAGCCAGGACAGUCCCUGCAGGGCUCACUGCUGAUAAACCUCGGGUGCCAGAGCAGUUUAUUGACUUCAUAUUUAGGAGACAGAUUUAGUGGUGUGUGAGGAGGUGAUCCCUAUCUAUCUAUCACUGAUUUGGGUGACUUUGAAAUUCCCGGAUGAAAGAUACCCAGAGCAUCCCAAGCAGCUGAGCCUUUCCCUCUGCAAUAGAUGCCAUCACCUCUCUGGUGGUUUUACUUCUUCCUUAUUUUGACUGGCUGCCUCUAUGUGAUUUCUGCAAGGCUUGUUUGUUGCUCUUCCCGAGCAGAGUAUUUUUCAUUAGUCCUGUCUAACUAAAAACAAAUGGUGGGCUGCAUGUGGGAAUGCAGCUUGGGAAAACUGGAGAUCAAAGGGAGGUCCUGACUCAGUGCUGAGAAUCCCGGCUGCAUUUCCCUUUAACUGCCUCCCACCAAGCUGUGCCUGGUGAUUUGGAGCUCACUGCCUUCACUUUUGUGUCUGAACAUCUUUCCUUUAAAAAAAAUGAUAAAUAAAGGGAGAAUGGUUUCCCUUCUUCUUUCUGUUUCUUGUCAGUCCUUGCUGAUUUUCUGGAAAACUUUAAUGGCUCUUCAUGAGGCCAGGAAGUGCUUCCACUGGAAUGACCAGUGCAGAGCCCUGGCAUCCAGCUCCCCCAAACAGGAAAGGACUGAUCGGAGUUGCUUCAGCCCUUGCCAGUUAUAGGUUGCUGCUGUGUGUCCAGAGGGCCUGUCUGCCCUUUCCAUGGAUCUGAAGGUCACUCAGCUCCAUCACCUCAUCAGCAAGUCAGCCAGGGCUUCCAGGAGCAAACCUUCCCCAGGGGAUGAGAGGGAAGGAUGUGGCCAGGUGUCAGUUCCCUCAUGUCUGACUUUUCAGUUCCACCUUUAAUAACUGCUGCUGCAUAUUUAUUUUUUACCAAGGAUAUCAAUUUUUUUUCUCAAGUGAGGACUUUUUGAUCCACAUGAUUCUCUUUUUCCACCUUAUAUUUUUUUUUUUUUUUUCAAUGAGGAACAAGACUAGAGAAACUGAAGAAGGGGAUUUUGCCUGGCUUGGAAUUGUUGGACUUUCGAGAGGUGGCUUUUUUGCCUGGAAAUGUCAAUGGCAAGAUGCCUCUGCCGAGAGAAGCUCUAGAGAUCAGCUCUGUGCUGGCUGGUGCAGAGUUUAGUUCUGGUUUACAUCAGGUUGUGCUUUGAGAAGAUGUUCAUGUGAGAUAACACUGUAUCUUUCCUCCCUUUACUUCAUGUUUUGUUUCUCUUAAAUAUUUUCCUUGGAGUGAAAUGAUAAAUAUUUAAGAAAUCAGUUGCACUUGGAGACUUCUGAGCUUUCUCUGUUCUGAGAAGAUGCUGAUGCCAAGCAGUACUAGGCUCUGUUUACAAAACAAACCACGACCACAACAAAGACUCGUGAAAGAAAAAAAGGUGAGGAAAGGAAGAGUGAGAGACAAUGUAUUUCUGUUCCUGAAAGCUGCUUUGCAUUUCCCUAGCACCUUUCCUCCCAGUGUUUCAGGGCACAUCACAAGCAUUAGUCAUGGCUCAGGCUGGAUUUGGAAGAGGAGUGAGGCAAUUCCUGUCACCCUUUGGAGAAUGAGUCUCCGGGAUAUCUAUAACCCCGGAGAAAGGCAAGUCCUUCCCGCAGUGGGGUUGCUGGUCACUGCUGUAUGGUCAGAGAGCCUGUUUUAUGGGGUGCUGAACUGGGGCUCCUGGAUAAAUCCUGCAGAGAAUCUUUACGAAGCUAAACCAGGAAGGGUUUUGCCAUCAAGAAAAGAGCAUCAGUACAACUAGUACUGAUUUCAUUAACUUCAGUUUUCAAGUAAUCUUCAUUUCAGCUGGAAAAGCAAGGAAUUCAGUUAGGACUGGGAUAUCAAGUGUGAAAUCUUGCCUCUGUUGAAGGCAGUAGGAGCAUUGCUAUUGACAGUUGGAGCCAGGCUCUUUCCCAGAAGUAGAUAUUAAUGAUAAGAGCAAGAGAUUUCAUCCAAGUCACUUCAGUAGCAAAUCUGGCAUGUUUGAGAGGACUCUGCAGGAGGGGAGACAAAGGCUCUGUCAUUACCAAUAUCCCUACUCAUGUUUUCAGAGAAUAAAUAUAUCUUUUCCUGGCAAUGAGUGUAUUGACUCUGUCUGGCUCAUUGCUCAACUGGUCACUCUGUGACAGGCUGUGCUCCCUUCCCCAGUGUUUUGUAUUCAGACAUCUCAGCUCAUAUUCAUCGGCUAUAGGAGAGGGAUUACUUCCUGCAGUAUUUUAUGGCUAGAAUAUUUUGUAUUUUGAAGUAUGAGUAUCUCUCUGACUCAUGUAGGACAAACCCACCAUAUCUCUGUUAUUAAAGCUGCUCCUCCUUGGGAAAGGAAAGGGCGUGGUGUGUACAACAUGAGAGAUAUCACUGUGUGACUACCUGGCUCCUUUCUGUACCUUCUACAGGGACAAGGCCUGAGCAUUUGUCACUGAUGAUGCUGCAGCUUGUUGCUGUUGGGUGAUGUUUUCCAGAAGGAGUGAUAAACAGGAAGAUCUCCGAAUGAUGUGGUCAUACCAGGUGUGAGAUGGAUAUGCAUUCUGUAUGGUCAGCAGCAGAGAAUCAAAGAAUAUCCUGAGUUGGGAAGGACCCACGAGGAUCAUCAAGUCCAACUUGGGAGUUUUGCACAGUUCUUCUGACAAGUGCAAGAUAGCCAGUGGGAAUGAGAUCUGUAAUUAAUCCACUGAAUGCUCAGUGCAGGCAGAACAGCUCUUGGGUGAAGAAACUCGUCAUGCUCUGAAAGGUACCUGACAGGAGGGCAAACACUGUUAGAAUGGGGUUUUUCAUGUGGUGGGUUUUUUCACCCAGUAAAUUCAUUUCGGGUAUUGCGGGCAGGAGGGAGAAAAUUCUGUCUUUCACCAUUCCCCUGACUUUUGAACAGUCCCAUGUGCAUGAUUCUGCACUUCCUCAUGGAGAGCUGAUUCACUGGGUUUCCAGGAGCAAAAAUAAAUUAAGCUAGAGUCCAGUUUCCCACCCUUUCUUGUCGGUGUGUGUGUUGAGGGGGUGGUGUGUUAAAAGGGAGCUCAGCACUGAGAGCCUGAACUGUGGGAGGUCCAGAUUCAGCCCUGGCACUGCCAAGCUGUGUGAAUUUGGUCACGUCUCCUCCCUGUCCUUUGGCUUGGCAUCCAUAGAAAUAACUCCAGAGAUUUUGUGGUAAAAUGGGAGCCCCUUGGCUGCUGCUGUAUUAGGGUUUGUCACAAAAGUGUUAAACGUGGUGGGAAGCACAGAGUGAGGACGGUUGUCCCUUUCAAUUAAGCUGUUCAUUUAUGUAACACUGCUUGGUUUACUGCUCAGGAAGUAUCUUGGUUUCUUGGCUCUCUGGCUGCUGGAGUACCUGCCAUUUAUUGCAAUUGACUUGGGAGACUGUUCUCCAACUGCCUGGUGUUCUUGGACCAGACUCAACCCCCUUUGAUUCCUGUUGUCCUUUUGUCUUUGCUUACUUGGCUCUAAACAUUUUGUUCCUGAACACAGGCCCAGGUUCUCCUCUCCCCUCAUGCUGCAGCAAAUCCAAACACUGCUUCCGAAGCAAUUCAUCAAGAAGCAUUGACACACAUGAAGGGAAUUAGUACUCUUGAUUUUUACUUUUUCCAAGUUUUGUCAACGAUUCUGUACUGCUUUUCCCAAGCGUUCCUGUAUUAGUUGACUAUACUUUGCCUGGUGAUAAUCCACAUUAUUUUUCCAGUUACCUGAUCCUCCUUCAGUGCUUUGUAGUGACAGCAGAAGCCACACCAACAAUGGAGUUUUGUGUGCAGCUGCCUGACUCCCGGGUAGAUAUCCCAAAAUCCAGGCAUGUCCACACAGCCAUAUUCCCAAGGCAAACUCACUUAUUCGGUCACAAAAUACCCAAAACAUGGAGUGAAGAUGGAUAGGGAAUGAGGCAAAGUCUGCAGGAGUGCUGGCUCUCCAGUUUGGAUCUGGAGGCAAGACCUCUGCUAAUGGUCUCCUGGUGGAGUUUGCCAGAAAGGAGGAACAAAAUUAUGUUCGUGAUGUAAAAGCUGCUUUUCUAUUACCUCUCCUGAUCUCCAGGGAAGAGUGGAGUUGGCAAAAAAUGGAAAAUAAUUAAGGUCUGAACAGAAAUAGUAACUGUCCCAAGGUGUUCAGUGUUAUUCUGUCACAGCUUUCUUCAGACUGAGUCCUUUUCCCAUUUUAUUGCUACAUUCUGUGUCAAAAGGUCUCCCAAAGUGACAUUUGGGCUAAGCUGCUGUUCUCAGCUCCUCUGCACUGUGGCACUCUGGUCACAUCAGCACCUGCCUGUCCCUGGAACUGCUCUGCCUUCAACCAGCUGCCCUUUCCCUGGGUUUAUGGCAGAGCUUGCACCAGUAUCCCAGUCUGAGAUGAAAAAAACCAAACCCUAAGCCACAGACAAACACAAAAAGACACCUCCCCACACAAAAGAGUGGUGACUCUCCAGGCCAGGUUGGACGAGGCUUGGAGCAACCUGGGCUAGUGGGAGGUGUCCCUGCCCAUGGCAGGGGGUGGGAUGAGACGGGCUUUAAUGUCCCUCCAACCCAGCCCAGUCUGGGAUCCAGCAGCAACUGCUCUGACUGUGGAGCUGGAUGUGAACAGGCUCUGCUCCUCUCUCCUGGAUAGUACCAGAACUUACAGGAGUUGAAGUGUGCCCUGCUCAGAUCGAGGCCUCUUUAGGGCUGUGCAAAACUGCAGCAGAUCCCAUCCAAAAUCUCUUAUUUUGGAUUGUAUUUAGCCUUAACAGCCUGAUCUCAAUAUUGCUGAGAGGAGGAAAAGUGUUAACCCUGUUUUGUAAAUGGCCAAAACUGCAGAGGCUGAAGUGGAGCAGGGACUGUAAUCCCUAAUUCUAAAUUUUCUAUUAAAACCCUAAUCCCUGGGCAAUCCUUCUGCUUCAGGCAGAAGGGGAUUGGGGAUGGAUGGGGUAUAAUUUAUCCGAAGUGAUGGACCUGCCACUGUUUAAAGCCACUUAUUUUCCUUCUAGCCCUAUGUCAAAGUGGCUUUUUUUAUUUUAUUUUUAGUUUUUGACUGCCAAAUUCAUUUUUUGCUGGAGAGAUUAAAAAUUGAAUUGUUUGCAUU